rnacentral:tRNA from 1 species
UAUAGGGAGACCUACUUUUCAGUGAGCAGUGACCAAUAAACAGUGAGCAAAAAAACUGGUAACUGGUAACUGAUAAUUGAACACUGAAAAGACAUCCCGAGGUCGGUCGCAAUCUUAAGGAAAGCUUUCAAACUAUAAACAGGGUUCUUUUAUGGGCUAUUAGCUCAGGUGGUUAGAGCGCACCCCUGAUAAGGGUGAGGUCCCUGGUUCGAGUCCAGGAUGGCCCACCUGAAGACAGUGAACAGUGAAUCGUGAACAGUGAACAGUAAAAAACUGGUAGCUGGUAAGUGGUAACUGAAAACUGACUUAGGGGGGUUUAGCUCAGUUGGUAGAGCGCCUGCUUUGCAAGCAGGAUGUCAGCGGUUCGAGUCCGCUAACCUCCACCUAUUCCAAGGAAGAAAUUGCCACAAAAAAAGUAAGAAAAAACUUUGCCGUGGUAAGAAAAGUGUAAUAAUAUAAGAAGAUGUGGGUAAAUUCAGCAACAUGACAAUCGUCAGACUGCUGGAUGAUAUCCAGCCAGAACCUUGAAAACUGCAUAGUAACGCGAAGCAGGUAGACACAGACAUUGUAUGAUUGCAUAAAUGAAAGUGUUUGCUUUUGAUAGAUAUCACCAAUUGUUGAGU